GACGAACGCUGGCGGCGUGCUUAACACAUGCAAGUCGAGCGGUAAGGCUCCUUCGGGAGUACACGAGCGGCGAACGGGUGAGUAACACGUGAGCAAUCUGCCCUUCUCAUCGGAAUAACCAUUGGAAACGAUGGCUAAUGCCGAAUACGACCUCCUUUCGCAUGAUCGGAGGUGGAAAGCUCCGGCGGAGAAGGAUGAGCUCGCGGCCUAUCAGCUUGUUGGUGGGGUAACGGCCCACCAAGGCAACGACGGGUAGCCGGCCUGAGAGGGUGACCGGCCACACUGGGACUGAGACACGGCCCAG
rnacentral:rRNA from 1 species